GGAUGUGAUGGUGAUCUAGAUGUCACAUCUAUCACACCAUUGAUUGCUAGAGUUGUUUCGGUUGCCUAGGUGAGCAUUGUCCCUCUUCAUGACUCUGUGUGUUUCCCUUCCACAUCUGUGCAUUUGAUUAAAGAGAACUACCAUACCAGAUAUAGGAAGUCCGUUGCUUGUUCUUUUAUUUUUUCCAGACAAGUGUUUAGGAGCAGCUGUGUAACCUUGCUAGAACCUCUAAACCAAUUCUGAAAUAGUCACAGAUGUUUCACAAAUUUAAUAUAUAACAUGACAUUUAAUGUGUUU
ensembl:misc_RNA 7SK 7SK RNA